rnacentral:rRNA from 1 species
AUUGAACGCUGCGGCAGGCUUAACACAUGCAAGUCGAGCGAGCGGCGGACGGGUGAGUAAUGCUUAGGAAUCUGCCUAUUCGUGGGGGACAACAUCUCGAAAGGGAUGCUAAUACCGCAUACUAUUAGAUGAGCCUAAGUCGGAUUAGCUAGUUGGUGGGGUAAAGGCCUACCAAGGCGACGAUCUGUAGCGGGUCUGAGAGGAUGAUCCGCGAAAAUGGGACUGAGAAACGGGCCAGACGCCUUAGGGAGGCAGCAGGGGGGAAAAUUGGAAAAUGGGGGGAACCCUGAUCCAGCCAAGGCGCGUGUGUGAAGAAGGGCUUAGGGUUGGAAAGGACUUUAAGCGAGGAGGCGUUACUCGCAGAAUAAGCACCGGCUAACUCGGUGCCAGCAGCCGCGGUAAUUC